rnacentral:rRNA from 1 species
CACGUAGUUAGCCGUGACUUAUUCAAGAGGUACCGUCUUCUGCUCUUCCCUCUUAAAAGAAGUUUACAACCCGAAAGCCUUCUUCCUUCACGCGGCGUUGCUGGGUCAGGCUUGCGCCCAUUGCCCAAUAUUCCCCACUGCUGCCUCCCGUAGGAGUCUGGGCCGUAUCUCAGUCCCAAUGUGGCCGGUCAACCUCUCAGUCCGGCUACUGAUCGUCGCCUAGGUGGGCCGUUACCCCGCUACUAGCUAAUCAGACGCGAGGCCAUCUUCCAGCGAUAAGUCUUUGGUGUCUCGAUGAUGCCAUCGAAACACAUCAUGCGGUAUUAGCAGUCGUUUCCAACUGUUGUCCCCCUCUGGAAGGCAGGUUCCUCACGCGUUACUCACCAGUCCGCCACUAAGCAUUCCCUUCCAUUGUCCGAAAACUCUUUCAGGGGUGCUCCGUUCGACUUGCAUGUGUUAAGCACGCCGCCAGCGUUCGUCCUGUACGCCGACGGAUCGAAACUACUCUGUACG